AAUCAACGCUGGCGGCGUGCCUCAGACAUGCAAGUCGAACGAUUAAAGCUCUCUUCGGAGAGUGUAUAGAGUGGCGCACGGGUGAGUAACACGUAAGUAAUCUACCUUCGAGUGGGGAAUAACAGUCGGAAACGACUGCUAAUACCGCAUAACGCAGCGGCAUCGCAAGAUGACAGUUGUUAAAGGAGCAAUUCGCUUGAAGAGGAGCUUGCGGCAGAUUAGCUAGUUGGUAAGGUAAUGGCUUACCAAGGCUACGAUCUGUAUCCGGUCUAAGAGGACGGUCGGACACACUGACACUGAAUAACGGGUCAGACUCCUACGGGAGGCAGCAGUCGGGAAUUUUGGGCAAUGGGCGAAAGCCUGACCCAGCAACGCCGCGUGAAGGAUGAAGUAUUUCGGUAUGUAAACUUCGAAAGAAUAGGAAGAAUAAAUGACGGUACUAUUUAUAAGGUCCGGCUAACUACGUGCCAGCCGCCGCAGU
rnacentral:rRNA from 1 species